CAUUACCUCUGGUCAGGUAUAGAUUCAGACCUAGUGCGCAGGCAAGCUAAACCACCUGGAGCCAUGCAGACACAAACCACAUAAAUGAUUUCUAUUUAGUUUGCUUUGAUUCAUGUACACUUGAGUCAGUUGACAACUACCAUCAAGCUAUGAUGAGCUUUGAUGUCGAGAAAGAUUUUUGUUUCAUUUGCGCUAUGGUUUUAUGAGUGUCAAAAUUUUUCUGUUUACUCUUAAAUAGACUGUUGCUAAUAUAAUUUAUCAGCUAUUUAUCCCAGAUGCAUUACAUUCAAUGAAAACAUUUUGAAAGUAUAAACUCUCAUGCACAACAUCCCUGAAACAACAACAUAAUUGAUCAAUUUGGUGAAAAUAAGUCAAACUUUUGAUCAAAUAAUUGUACUAAAAUUCUUCACUUUCUUACUAACAUUCUGGUAACAAAGGCAGCCAUGACUAAAUGUAUUCUAUGUAGCUCAUCAUUCACAGAAAACUGUGAGGAGUUGUGGAUUGUUUCACUUGUUCAUGAGAAAAUUGAUCCUAACAGUGUAUGAUUUUAUAAUUUGGUAAGCUAGAGGAAAAGAAAAAAAACAUUCUGAAUAUACUCACUCUCUCUGGUUAAUUUUUUGGUGUGUUCACCAUCUGCCAAGGCAGUUUGUAGAAGAAAAAUGAUUGAUGUAAAUUUUGGUUGGAGAUAUUACUGUGGGGAUACAGCUAACCAAAACUCCUUCUAAAUAUGAUCUACUAAGGACAUGACAAUUUGCAAUUUUGUGCAGGAUAUAAAAUCAGGUUAAGAAAGCCAGGAAUGUUGCUGAAUGACGAACAACAUAGUAAAGAAGGAUAAAAGAAACAGUCCCACCAACACUACCUGUUCAUCUGGUGGGUCAUCUCUAAUAUCUGGGUCACCAGUGCUAGUGUCUCCAGACCCAUAGGGUCUUCAAAGAUGACAAUGGAUGGUUAUUUGGAGUAUUUCAAAAGACGAAUAGAAUUGUACGUGAAAACUUUGUCAUAUCAUCAUGAAAUGACCAGCUUGGCUUUUGCUGCUACUCAGAAAUUAUGAAUCAAAGUUAUAUACUGAAAUAGAAACCAAAUUAAUAAUUAUGCAAAAGCACAAUCCCCAAGGGAAAAUUAAAUUAAAAAGAUUCAUGGAAUAGAUAAAGUUGGGAAACAGACAAAUAUGUUUUACCUUAGUUAAGUCCCCUGUAAUUCACAAUUUAAUAUUUUGAUUGAGUGCUCAAUUAUUAACUUCUGUAGUGUGUAGGCUUUAUAGACAUUAUCUCAUUGGAUUCUAGAUGAUUCUAUUGUCCCCAAUUUAUAAGUAGCAAACAGAAAUUAACAGAUUUCAAGAUCAUAUACUUAAGAAUUUGAGAACUAGAACUGAACAUCCACUCCUCACCAGAGUAAUACCUAAUAUUUUUGUUUUGAAGUUAUUAUUUUGAUUGAGGGUCAGGGAAAUUGGGUAAGGAAAAAGAGAACCUGAGAAAGGGCCCGAAGUGGAGGGUGCAUAAAUGAGGGAGAGGGAAGAAUUGGAGAAUGAAAGAGACUGAGGACCAUAACCCUUGCUCCACAAAUGUCCUACUGGAAUUAUUACACGGCUAUUGAAAUAGCACAGAAUUCACUGUUUUCUGUAAAUCUUGUCCUCUCAUCUUGACAUAGAUCCCCAGGAAGACAGAGUUCUUGCCAAAGGGUGAAGUCACUUAUUUAUUAUCCAUAGGAAUUUUCCAGGCGGACCAGAUUGCAUUCAAAGAUGAGUGAUUUGGGCACUGAAAUUGGCUGUCCACUCAGAGCCAAAGAGAUGCCCACCACUGGGGUUCCUCUCAAUGUGUUGUUAGGUGAGAGAUGAAAGGAGAAGACAAUUAUAGGGAGAAAACCCUCCAGAUACCUGCUCUCUGGAGUUAUGGUUAUCACGGAGUUUUUUCUGUGCUAAUUUCAUGCCCCACUUUGCCAUGUCCCUUCAGAUUCAAUUCAGCACUUCCCCAUGGUCCUCUUAUGGUCUCAAGAUUGAUGUAGCUUUUUUUUUUUUUUUUUAACAACCAGGAGUCAUUUGAGUAGGAAAGGACAUAGUGAUAACAUAGUCUAAUAUCAUCAAUUUCCAGGUGAGGAUUUGAAGCCAAUUUAUCUAAAGGAUUUGUCCAAGGUGACACAACUGGCUGGCAAUAGAGCCUAAUAAUAAGUUAGGUAUGUGGACACUUCCUUGUUUACAAAACUCUUUGAUUUCAGAUAGAUACAUACAUACAUAUUCUCAAAUAUUUGACCUGAAUCAAUCAUCUUAGCAGGUCCAUGAGGCAGAUAUGGCAUGAUUUCCUAUGCAUAGGCAGGAAAUCAAGGCAAUAAGGAAUAUGAUAAAACUAAUUCGUAUCAGAGUCAUGACUUAUUGUGAUUAAUGCCUUGGGCACUGUUAUCAGCCAAUCUGGGUGGAAUUCCAGGUUUCCACUUACUGGUUGAGCAAAUUAACCUCUCGAAGCCACAGCAUUAUCACCUAUUAAAUGGGGCUGAUCAUAGUUGCUACUUCACAGAGUAGCUUUUUAUAGAAUCAAAUUAGAUAAUGCUUAUAAAUCACUUAUCAGAAUGUGAAGUACACAGCAUGUCUUCUAUUAAGAAUAGGCUUAAUUUAUGUGUUCUGAAUUGGAAUUCCUUUCAACAUAUUAUGCUGCAUUAUUAAGCAUUCAUUAAGAAUAUCUAUUUAAGAUCAUUCCCACAAACUUGUUUGUCUUUUUUUGUUUAGAUGGAACUCAUCUACCUUGCCGUUACUAGGGAUACAGAGAUGUUUUUGGAAUGUCUCAUUCUUUGUUUCAUCUACUUCAGCUAUCAUUAAUUCUAGAGAGAGGAGUGGGUGGGGCAAUGAGUUAAUUAUUUAACUCUUGCUAAUAGGUUAGUAGUCAUAUAUCCCCUGGUAAGAACUGUAAUAAUUUAAUCUUUUAAAUUGAACAGGCCCUUAAGAUGGUUUUAAAAAUACAACCUCAAAGUGUAGAAUUUGGUGCCAUGGAUAAGCAAUGGAGGACAUCUUUAUGUCACUAAGAACCAUUUGUGCUCCACACAUGACACUUCAUGAGAUUCAAGAUGGAUUGUUGCUACACUGAGAAGAAUGUGGCAGACCACAAUAUGCCCAAAGGUUCUAUCUGUAAAAGGGGAAUAAUUCCUCAUCAACCAACUGCACGUGUUAAUAGAAAAGAAUCACUUCUAUGCAAUGUAACCGUAUGAAGUUGAAAGUAUUGUAUAAAUACUAAUAUAAUACGUAUGAAGAUUAGUACUUAAACUCUUUCCUGAAAAAAAUAUUUCUUCUUAAAUUUUCUUUAAGUUCUCUUGGUUGGACUCUGAGUUUCCAUGGUCCCUCAAGUCUGGUGUCUCUGCUGCUCCCUGGUCAAACUUAAGGCCUGGGAAUCUCUGAGAGGCUCAGAGCACUGGGACUUAGACCCUGUCGCCCACACUCACGAUGAAAGCCUUCAUUUCUGAGGUCUUAUAUGGUCUCUGGGAAGCUACCUUGGAGUAUGCUCCAGGCCACCUAUGCCCAGAAGUUGAUGACUUUGACUUCUUUCUAGUCUCUGAGAAUCUCCCCAACUCUUGACCUGAAAAGUGCCCCUUCUAUCUACCAUUCCUUUCUCCAAUUUUUUUUUCAUAAUUCACUUCACAAGGACACUCAAGGAGUAGGAUAGAGGGAAUAAGAUUAUUUGAGAAUAAAGCUAGAUUAUCUUUCUCCUUCUUCUCUCCUCUCAUCUCCUCUCUCUCUUUCUCUCUCUGACUUUUUCUCUCUUUCCAUUUCUCUUUUUUCUGUGUCCCUCCCUCUCACACCCUCUGCCUUUGGGAUGAAAUUAUAAAAGUAUUCAUUUAAAAAUUACUCUUAAUUUUCACAUCUAUAAUUUUAUACAUGAUUUUGUUUUAUUGUAAUCAAAACAUAAAUAAAUACCUAGUUAAAAAUAAAUAAAAGACAUUUUAAGAAUUGUAGAGGAAAGACCUAUUUGAGUGGCUUCCUAGGUCUUCUCAUUUAUCUACAUAUAAUAUCAAUCAGAACUUCUAAUCUCGAAACACUGUUUUACCUGCCUAGGUCUAAUCAUGGAAAAAGACCUUUUAAACUGAAUUCAAUGUUGCUGACACUGCAUUAGGCAGAUCACUUGGUGGUGGCAGCUAAACAUAAUGGCAUUAAGACAUGAGAAGCCAAGUUUUCACUUCUUCUCUCUACCUAGCUUUCUUGUAACCUAUAAAGGUCACUUGCAUAUUUUUACCCUUGUCUUCCUUAUGGAGGAAAUAAUAUUUGCUCAAAUAUUAUUCUUACUGAGAUAAAUAUGUUGCCUUCUUUACUACCCUCAUCAAGGCCUCUUUGAUCUCCUUGUUCCUCAGACUAUAGAUAAAAGGGUUUAACAUUGGGAUGAGGAUAACAUAGAACACUGACAGAACCUUGUUCUGCUUUUUGGAGUGGCUAGAGCUAGGAUGCAGGUACACAGAGAAGCCCAUGCCAUAGAAUAUUGUCACAACAGCCAGGUGGGAGGCACAGGUAUUGAAGGCCUUGGCACUACCUUUGAUAGAGGAUAUUUUCAGGAUGGAAGCUGCAAUGAAACCAUAGGAUAAGAGUAUAACAAGGAAAGAACCAAAUCCAACAAAAAAAGUUAUGAGAAAAAGAAUCAUUUGACUGAUGAAGGGAUUGGAACAAGACAAGGAUAUGAUGUGGGUUAUGUCACAGAAGAAAUUUGGAAUGAUAAUUGGGCCCACAGUAGUAGAGAUGAAA
rnacentral:lncRNA from 1 species